AUACAACUUCAGCAGCACAUAUACUAAGACUGGACUGAUACAGAGAUUAGCAUGGCCCCUGUCAAGAAUGACACACAGAUCUGUGAAGCGUUCCAUAUUUAA